AGAGGUCCUCUGCUCCCGGGCCCGGCGGGAACAAACUGCCGCGGUGGCGGGAGCUAGGCUCGCUUGGCUGGAGGCGGGUCAUCCUUCUCCUCGCAGCUCCCGCAACCCCGUGGCUCCCUGGAGCCACCACCACCUUCAGUGCGCUCAGUUACUGGAAGUCAAAGCUUUUGCCGGCGCAGCUGCAUCUGGUGGUGGCAGUGGCUACAAACCUCCUCUCCUCAUCUCCCCAAGGCGGCGCCCGGGCCACCCGGGCCGAAGCGCGGAUGGAUCGCCAGUGAGCCGAGAUGGCCAGACCGACGCCGCGGACAAGGACCUACUGGAGGCUAAGGGAGUUCUGGAGGACAAGUGAAGAGAGUGAUCCAGAGGAACAAACUCGGGCGCCGGAAGAUCCUACUCAGAUAGGCUAAAGAUUCCAAUGGAUGGAGGAAGAGAAGGCUUCGUAGGAACCAGAACAGCUGUCAGCUGCAGAGCCAAGCUUCUCCAGGAAGCCUGAGUCAUCCUGAGUCCCUCCCAUCUCAGAAAUGAUGUGUAGUUUCCAAAACAAUUUAUCUCUACUGGAACAAGGAAAUAAACAAAAGAAAAAGGAAGAGAUAGAAUCCAGGAAGCAGAAGGCGUAACACAGGACCGAGAUGAAGGGAUGUGACAGAGCACUUGAUUCACAUGUUCACGGCAUGGGUUUGAUCUCCAGUGUUGCAAAGCAAAGAAAAAGAAAGAAAGAAAGAAAGAAAGAAAGAAAGAAAGAAAGAAAGAAAGAAAGAAAGGAAGGAAGAAAGAAGCCAGGCGUGGUGGCGCACGCCGGAUGAAGAGAUGGCUCAGUAGUUGGGAGCACUGACUGCUCAUCAGAGGUCUUCAAUUCCCAGAAACCACAUGGUAACUCACAACCAUCUGUAAUGGGAUCUGAUGCCUUCUUCUCAUGUGUCUGAAGACAGUGUACUGAUAUACAUAAAAUAAAUACAUAAAUAAAAAUAAAUAAAAUUUUAAUUUUUUAUAUGUAUG
ensembl:processed_transcript Foxd2os forkhead box D2, opposite strand